GUGAGUUAUUUCUGAAGUGACUGCCAACCUGGAGAUUCUGUGAUUCAAUCUUGAAAGUCUGUAUAGUAGAAUGUCCCUGAGAUUUAAAACAAAACAAAAAAAGAGCAUCUGAGUAGGAUUGCUGUGGCUAGAUUUUUCCUUUCAGAACUAGAAGGAAAGAAGUUCAGAAACGCCUGCUGCUGACAGGGUGGGCUCCUUCCGGGUGGGGUUCUUCACCUGGCGGGUGUCCCAAGCCUUCCUUCUGGUGGGAUCUACAUCUAUCAGAUUGCUGCCUUUUCCGUGGACCAGGAUUAUUGGACAAAAGAAUGUCAAAGGUACCCAGUGAUUCUCCAGGGUUCCAGACAUAAUUUCUCUUGUCUCCUUGUGGAGCAGCAACCCAAUUUCCCUUUGGAUCAAUCACUCCUCCUGGGUCAAUUGCCCCAGCCAGUGCUCUGACCUCUUCUGCCUGUUGGCUCAUCAGUGUGAGGAACCUAGAACGAUCCAGCCACUGUUCAGUGGACCUGUGACUGAGGUUUGAGACAUACAAGUGAAUUGAUCCCAGAUCAACUUGGAUUGGAUGAAUGGAUUGAAGCCCAACCAAGGGGUCCACAAAGGAAAUUCUUCAAGGAAUUUGUUCUCAUCUAUUUUAAUCAAGGAAAUUCCUAUGCUAAAGGCCGGGAUCAUCCCUGUUCCAGGACGCCCUCACUGAGCUGCUGCUUUCUAUCUUCAAGGAGCACUGCCAAGACGUCCCUGCUUCCAGGAGCUUGGAGUGAAGAGAUCUGGCCUAUGACUGACACCAGCCUCUCCCGCCACCUGGCAGCCAAAACAACACCCUCAGUGAAGAAAUGUAUUAAUUUCUGGGCUUUCUGAAAGAAUGGAGACAGCCAUGCUGCAGCCACAGGAAUGAUGGCGUCCACUCACUGAGCAUCUGCACGGCCACACCUGCUUCUGAGUGACACUGUGUUUAUCCUCCCAACUCCACGCAAGUCAGAAUGGUCUGCUUGAGCCCAUGAGGCCCCAGGGAGAUGGAGUGGGGUUGAUUUCGUCGGUUCUGGGCCGAUCCUCAAGAAGAGCCUGCAGGGAGAUGCUGAUCCUGGCAGCCGAAGAUGAAGAGGAGGAGAUGAGGGGCCAGCACCGAGCCUGGGCGUCCUGCCAGAGCUGCCAACACCAAGUUGCAUUUUGUCGUCUGCUCCCUUUGCCUGAUUUAAUACAACCUUAAAUAAUAAUGGGAUGGGGGAAGGGGAGCGAGGGAGAAACAUCCCAGCCAAGAUUCUGUGUAACAAUCUCAUCAAACCUGGCAUUUUCCCUUUGCUAUUUGAGAAGCAAUUUCUCCUCUGAUGUAAACAUUUUUUUUUAUGAUUCCAGGCUGAGCGGCACCAGGAGCUGCUGCUCGGUGCUUUCCUCCAGCUCCCUCUGGUCCUUGAAUGGAGGCAGAAUGGGGCCUGUAACCAUGGCAAUUCUCUAAUGUUCUUCCAUAAACCAUAAACAUAGGGGGAGUCUUCAUUACAGCUUCUUCAAGGAGAGAAUAAAGCUUUCCUGGACUGGGGCAGGGCAAGGUGGUGGCGACAGGGGAGGGGAGGGGAAGAGGAGAGAGUCCAGAUUCUUCUUUGCCAAUGAGAUGAAUUGCCUGAAAAUUGGCUCAGUCCAAAGCAUGUGUCCAGCAAUUAAACAAGAUACAACCCCGGGACAGGUGCAUAAGGGGUGCUCCUUAAAUAUUUGCUGAAGGCGGGAAGAGAGGGAGGUGAAGAGAGUGAUGUGGAGGGGAGAAGAUUUGGGGAAUGGUGAAGAAUAAUGAUGUGUGGCCAGAUGGGCCCACAUUAUGAAAGGAUUUCAAGUUCUGUGACCUAACAGGCUCCUCGGAAGACUGAGAUGAUGUGUGGAUUGUCCUAUCUGAAGGCUGACAUGGCGUCCCAACUUCCAUGUAUCUCUGGUGCUGGGUACGUGGUCUCUGAGUUGUCAGCAUCAAUAAGUAUUUGUUGAAUAAAUAAAUAAAUGAAGG
rnacentral:lncRNA from 1 species